rnacentral:rRNA from 1 species
AGUGAACGCUGGCGGUAGGCCUAACACAUGCAAGUCGAACGGCAGCACAGUAAGAUUUUGCUCCUACGGGUGGCGAGUGGCGGAUGGGUGAGGAAUACAUCGGAAUCCACUUUUACGGGGGGAACUACGUGGGAAAACUGCUCCUACCAGCGCAUAUAUCUAACGGCAGAAUGCAGGGGUUAUUGGCACUUUUGCGGUUGCUUAUAGCUGACGCCGCAUUAGCUAGUUGGUGGGGUAAGGGCCUACCAAGGCAACGAUGCGUAGCCGAUCUGAGAGGGUGAUCGGCCACACUGGAACUGAGACACGGUCCAGACUCCUACGGGAGGCAGCAGUAGGGAAUCUUCGGCAAUGGGCGAAAGCCUGACGCAGCCAUGCCGCGUGAGUGAUGAAGGCCUUCGGAUCGUAAAGCUCUGUUAUUAGGGAAGAACAAAUGUGUAAGAAACCCCCGCUGUCCUGACGGUACCCAAAGAGUAAGCACCGGCUAACUACGUG